rnacentral:rRNA from 1 species
UGGGGAAUAUUGGACAAUGGGCGCAAGCCUGAUCCAGCCAUGCCGCGUGAGUGAUGAAGGUCUUAGGAUUGUAAAGCUCUUUCACCGAUGAAGAUAAUGACGGUAGUCGGAGAAGAAGCCCCGGCUAACUUCGUGCCAGCAGCCGCGGUAAUACGAAGGGGGCUAGCGUUGUUCGGAAUUACUGGGCGUAAAGCGCACGUAGGCGGAUAUUUAAGUCAGGGGUGAAAUCCCGCAGCUCAACUGCGGAACUGCCUUUGAUACUGGGUAUCUCGAGUAUGGAAGAGGUGAGUGGAAUUCCGAGUGUAGAGGUGAAAUUCGUAGAUAUUCGGAGGAACACCAGUGGCGAAGGCGGCUCACUGGUCCAUUACUGACGCUGAGGUGCGAAAGCGUGGGGAGCAAACA